UCGGGAAUUUUGGGCAAUGGGCGAAAGCCUGACCCAGCAACGCCGCGUGAAGGAUGAAGUAUUUCGGUAUGUAAACUUCGAAAGAAUAGGAAGAAUAAAUGACGGUACUAUUUAUAAGGUCCGGCUAACUACGUGCCAGCAGCCGCGGUAAUACGUAGGGACCAAGCGUUGUUCGGAUUUACUGGGCGUAAAGGGCGCGUAGGCGGCAAUCCAAGUCAUCUGUGAAAUCUCCGGGCUUAACUCGGAACGGUCAGAUGAUACUGCUUUGCUAGAGUGCAGAAGGGGCAAUCGGAAUUCUUGGUGUAGCGGUGAAAUGCGUAGAUAUCAAGAGGAACACCUGAGGUGAAGACGGGUUGCUGGGCUGACACUGACGCUGAGGCGCGAAAGCCAGGGGAGCAAACGGGAUUAGAUACCCGUGUAGUCCCUGAGCGGGCUGGCAAGGCGCAU
rnacentral:rRNA from 1 species